GGAGCUUCUCUAGAUACAGGCAGUUUAUGAAAUCCUGGUGAUGGUGAUGAUGAUAAUGAUGAGAAAAUGAUGUGUAUUUCUAUGCACCUGAACCUGUACAAAGCUUUUUUUUCCUCUUGAUGCCAUGGGAAACUGGAAAACAGGAAGAAACGGGUGUGUUUAGUGCAGAAAAAGGAAAAUCAAGGGCUUCCAUGAAGGUCUUCUGGCAUGUUGAGGGCUGCCACUGAAGUCAAUAGAGAAACUCAUUGAUUCCAAGUGAAGCAGAAAGCCUUUGAAAACCAGCCUCUAAGUGCUUUGCUGGACAGAAGCC